UACGAAGGGGACUAGCGUUGUUCGGAAUCACUGGGCGUAAAGCGCGCGCAGGCGGUUCUUCAAGUCAGUGGUGAAAGCCCGGAGCUCAACUCCGGAACUGCCAUUGAAACUGUGGAACUUGAGGAUGAGAGAGGUGAGUGGAAUUCCCAGUGUAGAGGUGAAAUUCGUAGAUAUUGGGAAGAACACCGGUGGCGAAGGCGGCUCACUGGCUCAUUUCUGACGCUCAGGCGCGACAGCGUGGGGAUCAAACAGG
rnacentral:rRNA from 1 species